UUCUCAGUAGCUCAGUGGUAGAGUGGUCGGCUGUUAACCGAUAUGUUGUGGGUUUGAAUCCUACGUGGGGAG